rnacentral:lncRNA from 1 species
CCAGGGCCUGAACCCAUGCCACAGCAGUGGCAAUGCCAGAUCCUUAACCACUAGGCCACCAGAGAACUCCCUUUUACUUGUUUUUUGGCCAAUGUUCCAAGACAUUAAAGGGUUAAUCCUCCUAAUUGAAGCUGAGAUCUUUUUUUGUGGCAUCAUUUUUGACAAGAGAAAGUCCUCUAAAAAGGACUUGUUGAGCGUUAGGAGGUCUCCUCCUCAACAGCGGUAACAAAUGUUCCCUUUGUUAUAACUCGACCUCCAAUUUUCUCUAUUUUCAACCCUGCUAUAUAGACAGGAAAAUUCCCCCAAGUAAUCAUCAUGAUGCUCUUUCAGAUCCAAACUCCUUGGGCCUCUUCUCCGCAAAAAGUAACCUGGUAUGAAUUGUCCUCUAGAACAAGGUUAGAAGGGUAACUUGAAACCCAGUUGUACAAGAGCAUAGAAGCUCCAUGCCCUUUCUGAAUAAAAUUAUAAAGACUUUAGAUUUGGUACAGCCAUACUGGAAGCCCUACUCCCGUGGGUCCUACUCCAGCGAAAGUGCCAGGAACUACAGACGUCAGCCCCAUGUCCCUUGGUUGCAUUGCAGCUAAUUAUUCACAACAGCAAAGAGGAAACAAAGAUUUACUCUUUUCCUGAAAGUCUCCACCCAGGUUCCUCAAGAAUCUUGAAGCGCCUUGUAGGUGCCUUGAAUCCCGAGGCCAGCAGUGGCUAUGCUGAGCUAAGUGAUAUCUUGGUCAUCCUUCUGAUCUUCCCUGGCUCUGUUUUAGUCCAGGACCCAAAGGCCAUAGAGCUAGUGGUAUUGAAAGAGCCAGGAAUGACCACGAAGGAUGCCCCGCUCCUAGGCUGCCUUCCUCCUUCUCUCCCUCUUUCUUGUUAAAAUCUAGUGAACUACAUAGAUAUUCUUCUAUGGAUAUCUUGAAGGCUAUUCCAGAUAUUCCUGAAAGGCUUUCCAAUCAGCCCUGCCUACCCCUCUAAUCUCAGUCUCCUGUCCUCCAAGUAUUUCACCACUCAGAAAUGUCAGACUUCCCCUUUCUUGGUGCAUUUUAGGGAUUUUUCGGUAUCCCAAGGGAGGGAUUCUGCACAAAUCUCUUCUUCUUUUCUUGAUUCCUAGGAUGCCUAUUCCUGGUUCAGCAUAGUACAGGCUCAGACAAUGGUACUCACUGUUGGACCGUUUAUUUAUAGCAGGUUGAGUAUGAGUUGAGACAUUGGACAGACGUGGCAUUGGAUCCUACCUCUUGUGACUUGCUAAGUUUGGGAACUAGGGAAAGUUAUUUAAUUUCUAUGGACCUCAUUUUCAUCAUUAGUAAAAUGAGAAUCCUUAUGGCAAGUACUACUUUAGGAUUAUCGUAGUACCCGACAGACAGAAGGUUUCAAUCCAGCUGUUAUUAAGGGUCUGAAACUUGGAGUUCCCAUCGUGUCGGAUUCGUUAACCACUGCGCCACGGCGGGAACUCCAAAAAUGAGUGAUAUUACUCCAAAGUUGCACACUUCCCCUGCGGCCCCUCAUGCCAGGCUCCACUGCCUUGGUGGGGGCCACCUGCUCUUCUCAGGCCUGAGCAUGGAGACCACCAAAAAUGCCCCCUCACACCCUGCUCUCCCAUCCUUCCUCUGAGCCCACUUUUCCCUUCUCUUCAGCUGAGGGAACUUCAGCCACUCACAGUAUCUUAGAAGUAUCUUUCACAACAAAUAACAGUGCCUUUGAGAAGAGAGAACCCAAAACACUUUCCCUCAUGGGUCUUUAAAACAGUCAUUGGCUGUACCCACAGCAGGUGGAAGUUCCUGGGCUGGAGAUCAAACCUGGGCCACAGCAGUGACCCAAGCCACUGAACUACAACCCUGGAUCCUUAACCUGUUGAGCCACAGGAGAACUCCUAAAACACGAUCAUCUUCAUGAUCACGGAAGCAACAUCCUCCACUAUCAUUUGCUAUUGAGUGAACUAACAUACAUGAAAUAGUUCUUAGGGCCUGACACAUAUUCAAUGGGCAUAUAUAGUACAUAUUAGCUCUUACCACUAUCAUGGGAUUAAGUACAUACUAAGUUUCAGGGUGCUAUGCUGAAUCCUUUCUAUACCAAAUCUCCUUUAAUUGCUGUAAGAACUCCAUGGGUGGAAGAUAUUUUAUACCCAUUUGAAUUAUUUACUUACUUAAAAAAAUUUUUGGAGCAUUUUAUUUUACUUAUUUUUAUGGAAGUAUAACUAAUGUAUAAUAUUAUGUAAAUUAUAGGUGUACAAUAGAGUCACAAUUUUCAAAGGUCAUACUCCAUUUUUAGUUAUUAUAAAAUAACUAUAAUCCCCAUGUUGUACAAUUAGUCCUUUUAGCUUAUUUUAUUUUAUUAUUUUUUGACUGUGUCCAUAGCAUGCGAAAGUUCCCAGGAGGGAACCCCAUCCACAGCAGUGACAAUGCCAAAGCCUUAACCACUAGGCCACCAGGAAACUCCAAUUAUAGCUUAUUUUACACCUAACAGUUUGUACUUCUUAAUCCUCAACCCCUUUCCCUCUCCCCACUGGUAACCACUACUUUGUUCUUUAUAUCUGUGAGUCUGCUGCUUUUUUGCUAUAUUCACUAGUUUGUUGUAUUUUUUAGAUUCCACAUAUAGGUGAUAUACAGUAUUUGUCUUUCUCCAACUUAUUUCACUUAGCAUAAUUCCCUCCCAGUCUAUCCAUGUUGCUGCAAAUGGGAAAGUUUCAUUUUUUUUCUUAUGGCUAAAAUAUUACCUUGGAAUACCCUUCAUCUGUUGAGAGACACUUAGAUUGCUUCCAUGUCUUAGCAAUUUUACACCCAUUUUACAGAUGAGGAAACAAGAUGGUAAGAAGUCAAGUGCCCAAAUUCAUAGUGUUGAUUCAUUCUAGAACUGAAUUCAAACCCAAUCUCCACAGACUGUAUUGUCUAUCCCCGACGUCAACUGUGUUUGUGUUUAGGUGGGAAUGACUUAUGGGCAGUCUUUGAAAAAGACUGGGGAAUCAUCAAGCUGAAAUGUUCUCUUGGAUUUAAAAAUUCUGUAAUGAAGACUUAGAUGGUUUACUAAAGGAGAAAUACAUCUGGGUUGGGGGGAGAGGAAUAGAAGCAAGGAAGGAGAGAAGAAACAUUUAUUAGGUCUCCCAGUUGGCUUAGUGGUCAAUUCAAACUUUAUUUAUUUGCUUUUUUUUAGGGCCACACCUGCAGCACAUGGACGUUCCCAGGCUAGGAGUCGAAUCAGAGCUACAGCUGCUGGCCUAUGCCACAGCAACACCGUAUCCUUAACCCACUGAAUGAGGCCAGGGAUCAAACCCACAUCCCCAUGGAUACUAGUCAGGUUCAUUUCCACUGUGCCACAAUGGGAACUCCCCAAUUCAAACUUUAAAUCCAGGUUGGUCUCACCUCAGAGCCCAGCUUUCUGCCAAGGACUCCAGAGUUGUACACUUGUGCUCCAAUUCUAUAACUCCACUGCAAGUAAUUUAACAAUAAUUUCAUAUUUUCCACUGAGACACUGAAACGUCUUAUUGAAAGAGGUCAGGGAAGUCGCUUCCCCAGAGCAGAGUUGGAGAGACAGCUAGACAGUGGCACUGGGGGUGGGGGUGGCUUUCAGUGCAGAACUACGCAGAGGUGUGAAGACGAAUGAGCUGGCCUUUUAGGUCUUUUCCAGUCCCCGAGCUCCAGGAUUUAUUUGGCCAUGAAAAUGUCAGGCUUUUUCUUCCAUAAAAUGAUGUAUGAUGGUCUGAGUACAUUCCCCAAUCCCACCCCCACCUCCUCAUAUCUGAUUAAAAAGCAAAGAUUAAAUCACUGAAAACAAUGGAAAGGAAGGUUUUUCUCCAAGAGGGAUGAGGUUUUCCUGAGACAAAGCAACAGGAGGAGCAGAGGGAGUACAAAGGAAAACGCAGGGGUCUGGGAGGGACAAGCUGAGCAUAGAGCAGGUGGAUGGAUCCAGCAGAGAGUGGGGGCUGGGACAAAGGCCAGUUGCAGUUGGGUUAUGAGGGCUAUCAGCUUACAUUAACCAACAGGCAUGGAGUGGAAACCAGGGCUCUAGUUAUGCAAACCAAAUGAAUGCAUUUGAACAAUUUGUGAACCAUGUUUUUUAUUUUUAUUUUGAAAAUUUUUUCUUGAUAUAGGAUCUCAGUUUCCAGAGAAAGGACUGAACCUGGGCUGCAGGGGUGAAAGCACUGCAUCAUUAUGACUAAACCACCAGGGAACUCUCUAGAACCAUCCUUUUUUUGUUGGGUGUUUAGGGUUUUUUUUUUUUUUUUUUUUUUUUGGCUGGCUAGCAGCAUGUGGAAGUUCCCAGGCCAGGGAUCAAACCUGCAAUCAAUUGAAGUUCUCUUGUGGUGCAGAUCUUUCACUUACUGCACUGCACGAGAACUCCUAGAACCAUCCUCCCCCCACCUUUUUUUCCCCCCAGCACAUGAAAGUUCCCUGGCCAGGGAUCAAACCGGAGCUGGAGCUGCGACCUCCACCACAGGGGCAGCAACUCCAGAUCCUUAACCCACUGUGCCAGGCCGGGGAUUGAACUGGUGCCUCCACAGAGAUAAACUGGAUCAUAAUGCACUGUGCCUCAGCAGGAACUCCCUAGACCUAUCCCUUUUUACCCAGGAGAUAUGAGGUCAGCCUUGAAUCAGAACUCAUUCAUUCAACCAAUACUCAUCGCCGCCACUGUACCAGACAGAGUUCUGGGUUUGGAGGAUACAGAAAUGACCCAAGCAGUUCUAGUUCACUGCCUUUGGGAAGAGAGAAAAUAAACACCACGAUCAGUAGUAAAGCAUGUGGUAUUCUAGUUAGCAUCAGGGACUAAGUAAAAAAUAAAGCAGAGAGCCCAAGAGGAAACAUCGGCGCAAGAGUCGGAGGUGGUAAUGUUUGGGGGAUUUGGCCAGGCAUGAUGCCUGACUGAGGGGGUCAGAGCAGAGGAAGGAAAGGACAGGGUGCUGAUGACAGUGGGGCAGGAGGGUCCUAGGCAAGGGAGGGACAGUCCAGGUCCUGGGGUGGGAGAGGACCUGGUGCCUGAGAGACAGUGAGGACAACCAAGUAGCUGGGUAGGAGGUGGAGUCACAGAGCUCACAGGGGCCAGAUCCUGCAGGGCACUGAAUAUACCUGAAAAGAUUUUAGCUUUCAGAUCCAGGGAGAUGGGACUGCACCCUGGGAAAGGUAAAGCAGGGAGACCACCUAGGAUGCUGUUGCAAUAAUCCAAGCAAGAGAUGAUGUUGGCGUAGACCAGCUGUAGUGGUAGCAGAGGUGGAGGAAAGUAGUUAAUGUCUGGAUAUGUUAAAAUGCUAGGCCUUCAGGGGUAAAAAGGAAGACAAGCCUCAGGAAAGGAGGGAAGCUCUUGCUAAUGAUCUGCCCUUAAUACAUCUGCCACCGUUUGUCAUCUCAGCAAAAAAAAAACCCUGGAGGCUCCAUUCAGACUGACUGUGCAAUGGGACUCACUCAUGCGCUUAGCUGGUUUCCACUGAGAGUUGGGACAAGGGGUUGUAUUUUCCAUAUUUGCAGGUGACUGACUUCU